rnacentral:tRNA from 1 species
AUUUAUAUAGUUUAAUAAAAACAUUAUAUUUUCAAUAUAAAAAUAAUUUCUUUUUUAUAAAUA